UGGGAUUUGAUCAGCCUACGGACAGUGGCGAUAAGGCAGCGCUCGACCCGGCGAGGUGGUGUGUGACCUUCGCCCCCCUGCUGACCUACAGAAGGAACGACCGUGAGUAACAUAGUAAAAGCAAUUGUGGUAUAAGCUUACCUGUGUUUGUAUCAUCGCAGAGUCGGAGGCGAACGGGUCCGCUACCCCCGUGGUCUCUACGAAAGGGCGCCCCUAUCCGGAAUUCGAUCGGCCCACGGACCGUGGGGAUAGGGCGGCGCUCGACCCGGCGAGGUGGUGUGUGGCCUUCGCCCCCCUGCUGACCAACAGUAAAGAGCCGACUGUGAACGUGAUACUUACCCCGAGAGCUGUAAGCAGCGGAGCUGGUGAGAACCAUUCAAAGACCAAUAACAGUGUUUCUGUGUCCUAGCGAUCACCUGUGGAGAGAGAAAGGAAAACGAGAGAGAGUCAGUAAAGAGCCGACGGUGAACGUGAUACGUACCCAGAGAGCUGUAAGCAGCGGAGCUGGUGAGAACCAUUCAAAGGCCAAUAACAGUGUUUCUGUGUCCUAGCGAUCACCUGUGGAGAGAGAGAAGAAGACAAGAUGGCCGCCUGUGGAAAGAGAAGAAGGCGAGAGUAAGCCAUUGGGCACGAACAGUGGAGAAACCCCUAACAGCCACACCAGAAGUUGUCUGCCUCCAGGAAGAGAAGAAGGAGGGCGCCACGGCCAGCAGGGUCCAGGCGGGAGCCUGACGUUUCCUUUUUCCCCCGUUGAUGGUGGUUGGCACCCCCGUUUUCCCAUCCCUGUCACCCGUGGCUGUAGUCUCCCUGGAGGGAGUAGAAGAAGCCAUUAGUUUUAAAAUUCCCCUUUCCCCGAAAUUUCCCCCCCAUCCUUUUAAGUAUUUAAGAUUUCAAUAAAGCUUGUUUUAAAUUUUA